GACGAACGCUGGCGGCGUGCCUAAUACAUGCAAGUCGAACGCUUCGUUCCGCCCGAGUGCUUGCUCUCAAUUGGAAAGAGGAGGGGCGGAAGGGGGAGAAAAACGAGGGUAAAGUACCCGUCAGAGGGGGAUAACACUUGGAAACAGGUGCUAAUAUCGCAUAACAGUUUGUGCCGCAUGGCAUAAGGGUGAAGGGCGCUUUCGGGGGUGGUUGAUGGAUGGACCCGCGGUGCAUUAGCUAGUUGGUGAGGUAACGGCUUACCAAGGCGACGAUGCGUAGCCGACCUGAGAGGGUGAUCGGCCACACUGGAACUGAGACACGGCCCAGACUCCUACGGGAGGCAGCAGUAGGGAAUCUUCGGCAAUGGACGAAAGCCUGACCGAGCAACGCCGCGUGAGUGAUGAAGGUCUUCGGAUCGUAAAACUCUGUUGUUAGGGAAGAACAAGUGCGUUAGUAACUGAACGUCUCUUGACGGUAUCUAACCAGAAAGCCACGGCUAACUACGUG
rnacentral:rRNA from 1 species